rnacentral:rRNA from 1 species
GACGAACGCUGGCGGCGUGCCUAAUACAUGCAAGUCGAACGCAGGGGGGACGGGGGAGGAACACGUGGGUAACCUCCAAUCAGAGGGGAUAACACUUGGAAACAGGUGCUAAACCGAUACAUCUGGAUUUCGGGGCGUUGCAUUAGCUAGUUGGUGAGGUAACGGCUCACCAAGGCCACGAUGCAUAGCCGACCUGAGAGGGUGAUCGGCCACACUGGGACUGAGACACGGCCCAGACUCCUACGGGAGGCAGCAGUAGGGAAUCUUCGGCAAUGGACGAAAGUCUGACCCAGCAACGCCGCGUGAGUGAAGAAGGUUUUCGGAUCGUAAAACUCUGUUGUUAGAGAAGCGGUACCUAAAGAGAAAGCCACGGCUAACUACGUGCCAGCAGCCGCGGUAAUUA